GGAUCCAGACUUUGAUUAUGGCUCAGGAUGAACGCUAGCGGCAGGCUUAACACAUGCAAGUCGAGGGGCAGCGCGGGGUAGCAAUACCCUGGCGGCGACCGGCGGAAGGGUGCGUAACACGUGAGCGACUUGCCCGAUACAGGGAGAUAACCGGUGGAAACGCCGACUAAUAUCCCAUACGACUAGAGGCUGCAUGGCCUUGAGUUGAAAGGUUCGCCGGUAUCGGAUAGGCUCGCGGGACAUUAGCUUGAUGGCGGGGCAACGGCCCACCAUGGCGACGAUGUCUAGGGGUUCUGAGAGGAAGACCCCCCACACUGGGACUGAGACACGGCCCAGACUCCUACGGGAGGCAGCAGUGAGGAAUAUUGGUCAAUGGGCGGAAGCCUGAACCAGCCAUGCCGCGUGAAGGACUAAGGCCCUAUGGGUCGUAAACUUCUUUAGACGCAGAGCAAUAAGGGCCUCGCGAGGUCCGAUGAGAGUAUGCGUAGAAUAAGCAUCGGCUAACUCCGUGCCAGCAGCCGCGGUAAUACGGGGGAUGCGAGCGUUAUCCGGAUUUAUUGGGUUUAAAGGGUGCGUAGGCGGCGAAUUAAGUCAGCGGUGAAAGACCGGGGCUCAACCCUGGAAGUGCCGUUGAUACUGAUUGGCUAGAAUAUCCUUGCCGUGGGAGGAAUGAGUGGUGUAGCGGUGAAAUGCAUAGAUAUCACUCAGAACACCGAUUGCGAAGGCAUCUCACGAAGGGGCGAUUGACGCUGAGGCACGAAAGCGUGGGGAUCAAACAGGAUUAGAUACCCUGGUAGUCCACGCAGUAAACGAUGAUGGCUAACUGUCGGGCCUGCGGGUUCGGCGGCCAAGCGAAAGCGAUAAGCCAUCCACCUGGGGAGUACGACCGCAAGGUUGCAACUCAAAUGAAUUGACGG
rnacentral:rRNA from 1 species